rnacentral:rRNA from 1 species
AACGAACGCUGGCGGCAUGCCUAACACAUGCAAGUCGAACGAGACCUUCGGGUCUAGUGGCGCACGGGUGCGUAACGCGUGGGAACCUGCCCUUAGGUUCGGAAUAACUCCCCGAAAGGGGUGCUAAUACCGGAUAAUGUCUUCGGACCAAAGAUUUAUCGCCUUUGGAUGGGCCCGCGUUGGAUUAGCUAGUUGGUAGGGUAAAAGCCUACCAAGGCGACGAUCCAUAGCUGGUCUGAGAGGAUGAUCAGCCACACUGGGACUGAGACACGGCCCAGACUCCGACGGGAGGGAGCAGUGGGGAAUAUUGGACAAGGGGCGAAAGCCUGAUCAAGCAAUGCCGCGUGAGUGAUGAAGGCCUUAGGGUUGUAAAGCUCUUUUACCCGGGAUGAUAACGACAGUACCGGGAGAAUAAGCUCCGGCUAACUCCGUG